UCCAUCAAAUCCCAACGCGCUCUGCAACUGGAUGACAAGUGGUGAUAUAUGGAUCUACGAGCCUCGUCUACCAAUUCGCAACUGAGUGCAGCGUUUGCGAUGGUCUACGUCGGAUUCUUGGCUGCAUGGUGGUGAGUGUGGGACUUUCUUUGCUGAGUUUUGCCAGGUUUUGUUGAAGUGUUAGAAUAGAACGGGUAAUUCGAGCUAUUGUUGUCGCCUAGUUAGAUUGCGGCAAGAUAGUUGUGUGCAGUAAAGAGAGCAGCACUGAAAACAGCCAUGAAUUUGAAGUCGUUGCAUAAACCGGAGUUGUUGGAGCUAGCAAAGGAGUUGCGCCUGGAUGUCACUGACACACUCCGAAAGCCAGAGUUGAUUUAGGCUAUUCUUGCUCUAAAGGCUGAGGAUGAUGAGCUUAUGGAAUGCCUAGAGAUCAUUAGAGAGAGGGAGACUGCAAAAAGUCAGGCAGAAGAGCGAAAGUAAAGAACAAAAAGAGCGGAAAGAACGGGAACGUAAGGAACAGAGGGAACACGCACUAGAAUUGACGCGACUCGAGAUUGAAAUGGAACGAGUUCAAGCACCAGGGCAUAGGAGCGAUGGAAACAGUGCAGGAGAGCGCGUAUCAUUAAAGAUGACAGAGCUAAUGCGGAGACAUUGGUUUGUUCUUGGUGAACUUAGAGCAAACAUGCGAGAAGCAAGGGUUCUCUCGCGAGUCGUGGCCACAGCGUCUGCUCACACUGUUACUGGGCAAGGCAACGGACGUAAUCGCUCACUUAACCAGAGUGGAAGCUGAGGAUUAUGAUAAGGUAAAGUCCAGUUUACUGAGAAAGUACAGGCUGUCAGCGGAAGCGUUCCGUCGGAAGUUCCGCGAAAUGGAAAAGG
rnacentral:lncRNA from 1 species